UCGAUGCCGGAUUAUUAUUUGUCUCGAUGAUGCCAGGAUCAAAAGACAGAAGCUUCCUCGUAUGGGUAGACGUUGCAUUCAUGCAUAUUAACCUGUUUGCUGUUUUGCAGGAAUCAUUGCUCGUGCUCGCAGAGCUGUACCUUUGCACUCAACACGCCCUCACAGAUAUUACACCAGGCGCAAUACUCCCGGACUAAUGAAUCCGUCCAACACCG
rnacentral:lncRNA from 1 species